rnacentral:rRNA from 1 species
AUACGGAGGAUGCGAGCGUUAUCCGGAUUUAUUGGGUUUAAAGGGUGCGCAGGCGGGCGAUUAAGUCAGCGGUGAAAGGCUCGGGCUCAACCGGAGCAGUGCCGUUGAUACUGGUUGUCUUGAAUGCGGUCAAGGCCGGCGGAAUGUGGCGUGUAGCGGUGAAAUGCAUAGAUAUGCCAAAGAACACCAAUAGGGAAGGUAGCUAGCCGGCCCUGCAAUGACGCUGAGGCACGAAAGCGUGGGGAUAGAACAGGAUUAGAUACCCUGGUAGUCCACGCUGUAAACGAUUGACACUCGUUGUCGGCGACAGACAGUCGGCGGCCAAGCGAAAGUGAUAAGUGUCCCACCUGGGGAGUACGGUCGCAAGGCUGAAACUUAAAGGAAUUGACGGUG